rnacentral:rRNA from 1 species
UACGUAGGGACCGAGCGUUGUCCGGAUUUAUUGGGCGUAAAGAGCUCGUAGGCGGCUUGUCGCGUCGUCCGUGAAAACCCACAGCUCAACUGUGGGCUUGCGGUCGAUACGGGGCAGGCUAGAGUUCGGUAGGGGAGACUGGAAUUCCUGGUGUAGCGGUGAAAUGCGCAGAUAUCAGGAGGAACACCGGUGGCGAAGGCGGGUCUCUGGGGCAGUAACUGACGCUGAGGAGCGAAAGCGUGGGGAGCGAACAGG